rnacentral:rRNA from 1 species
CGGAACAUAUCCGGAAGUGGGGGAUAACGUAGCGAAAGUUACGCUAAUACCGCAUAUGCCCUGAGGGGGAAAGGGGGGGAUCGCAAGACCUCUCGCUUUCGGAGUGGCCGAUACCGGAUUAGCUAGAUGGUGAGGUAAAGGCUCACCAUGGCGACGAUCCGUAGCGGGUCUGAGAGGACGACCCGCCACACUGGAACUGAGACACGGUCCAGACUCCUACGGGAGGCAGCAGUGGGGAAUUUUGGACAAUGGGCGCAAGCCUGAUCCAGCCAUACCGCGUGAGUGAAGAAGGCCUUCGGGUUGUAAAGCUCUUUCAGCCGGAAAGAAAUUGCUUCUAUUAAUACUAGGAGUAGAUGACGGUACCGGAAGAAGAAGCACCGGCUAACUACGUGCCAGCAGCCGCGGUAAUACGUAGGGUGCGAGCGUUAAUCGGAAUUACUGGGCGUAAAGCGUGCGCAGGCGGUUUGGUAAGACAGAUGUGAAAUCCCCGGGCUUAACCUGGGAACUGCAUUUGUGACUGCCAGACUAGAGUGUAGCAGAGGGGGGUAGAAUUCCACGUGUAGCAGUGAAAUGCGUAGAGAUGUGGAGGAAUACCGAUGGCGAAGGCAGCCCCCUGGGCUAACACUGACGCUCAUGCACGAAAGCGUGGGGAGCAAACAGGAUUAGAUACCCUGGUAGUCCACGCCCUAAACGAUGUCAACUAGGUGUUGG